AACGAACGCUGGCGGCAGGCCUAACACAUGCAAGUCGAACGAACCUUCUAGGUGAGUGGCGCACGGGUGCGUAACACGUGGGAAUAUACACAUAGGUAAGGAAUAACAUAGAGAAAUUUGUGCUAAUACCUUAUAAUGACUCCGGUCCAAAGAUUUAUCGCCUAUGGAUUAGCCCGCGCUAGAUUAGAUUGUUGGUGAGGUAAAAGCUCACCAAGUCUACGAUCUAUAGCUGGUCUUAGAGGAUGAUCAGCCACACUGGUACUGAGACACGGACCAGACUCCUACGGGAGGCAGCAGUGAGGAAUAUUGCGCAAUGGGGGCAACCCUGACGCAGCCAUGCCGCGUGAGUGAGAAGGCCUUAGGGUUGUAAAACUCUUUCAGAUGCGAAGAUAAUGACGGUACCAUCAGAAGAAGCUCCGGCUAAAUUCGUGCCAGCAGCCGCCGCGGUAAG
rnacentral:rRNA from 1 species